AACGAACGCUGGCGGCAGGCCUAACACAUGCAAGUCGAGCGGACCCUCCGGGGUUAGCGGCGGACGGGUGAGUAACCCGUGGGAAUAUGCCCUUCUCUACGGCAUAGCCCUGGGAAACUGGGGGUAAUACCGUAUACGCCCUUUGGGGGGAAGAUUUAUCGGGGCAGGAGUAGCCCGCGUUGGAUUAGGUAGUUAGUAGGGUAAUGGCCUACCAAGCCGUGAAUCCGAAGAUGGUUUGAGAGGCUGGUCAGCCACACUGGGACUGAGAAACGGCCCAGACUCCUACGGGAGGCAGGAGUGGGGGAUCUUGGACAAUGGGGGGAAUCCUGAUGGUGCCAUGCCGGGUGAGUGAUGAAGGCCUUAAGGUUGUAAAGCUCUUUCAGCUAGGAAGAUAAUGACGGUACCAGAAGAAGAAGCCCCGGCUAACUCCGUG
rnacentral:rRNA from 1 species